UACGUAGGGGGCAAGCGUUGUCCGGAUUAUUGGGCGUAAAGAGCGUGUAGGCGGCCAAGCAGGUCAGCUGUGAAAACUCGAGGCUCAACCUCGAGACGUCGGUUGAAACCGCUUGGCUAGAGUCCGGAAGAGGAGAGUGGAAUUCCCGGUGUAGCGGUGAAAUGCGCAGAUAUCAGGAGGAACACCAAUGGCGAAGGCAGCUCACUGGGACGGUAUUGACGCUGAGACGCGGAAAGCCGUGGGGAGCAAACAGG
rnacentral:rRNA from 1 species